UACGUAGGGGGCAAGCGUUGUCCGGAAUCAUUGGGCGUAAAGAGCGUGUAGGCGGCCCGGUAAGUCCGCUGUGAAAGUCCAGGGCUCAACCCUGGAAUGCCGGUGGAAACUGUCGGGCUAGAGUCCGGAAGAGGCGAGUGGAAUUCCUGGUGUAGCGGUGAAAUGAGCAGAUAUCAGGAGGAACACCAAUGGCGAAGGCAGCUCGCUGGGACGGUACUGACGCUGAGACGCGAAAGCGUGGGGAGCAAACAGG
rnacentral:rRNA from 1 species